rnacentral:Y_RNA from 1 species
GCCUGGUCCCCAAAUGCUGGGAAUUAACAGCAAUGAAGCCACACGCGCCGUCCAAACUACCUUGUUCUACUCUUUCCCCUUCUCACUACUGCAGGUUGACUAGUCUUUA